rnacentral:rRNA from 1 species
UACGAAGGGGGCUAGCGUUGCUCGGAAUUACUGGGCGUAAAGGGCGCGUAGGCGGGUCGUUAAGUUAGAGGUGAAAGCCCAGGGCUCAACCCUGGAAUUGCCUUUAAUACUGUCGACCUUGAGUAUGGCAGAGGUGUGUGGAACUCCGAGUGUAGGGGUGAAAUUCGUAGAUAUUCGGAAGAACACCAGUGGCGAAGGCGACACACUGGGCCAUUACUGACGCUGAGGCGCGAAAGCGUGGGGAGCAAACAGG